rnacentral:rRNA from 1 species
UACAGAGACUGCAAGCGUUAUUCGGAUUCACUGGGCGUAAAGGGUGCGCAGGCGGCCGUGUGUGUGAGGCGUGAAAGCCCGGGGCUUAACCCCGGAAUUGCACCUCAAACUACAUGGCUAGAGCAUUGGAGAGGGUAGCAGAAUUCAUGGUGUAGCAGUGAAAUGCGUAGAUAUCAGGAGGAACACCGGUGGCGAAGGCGCUCAUCUGGCCCAAUACUGACGCUGAGGCGCGAAAGCUAGGGGAGCGAACGGG